rnacentral:rRNA from 1 species
ACAGCAGUCGCCGCGGUAAUACAGAGGGUGCAAGCGUUAAUCGGAUUUACUGGGCGUAAAGGGCGCGUAGGUGGUUAUUUAAGUGAGAUGUGAAAGCCCCGGGCUUAACCUGGGAACUGCAUCUUAUACUGGGUAACUGGAGUGCAGUAGAGGGUAGUGGAAUUUCCGGUGUAGCGGUGAAAUGCGUAGAUAUCGGAAGGAACACCAGUGGCGAAGGCGGCUACCUGGACUGAGACUGACACUGAGGCGCGAGAGCGUGGGGAGCAAACAGGAUUAGAGACCCCCGUAGUCCCUGUCUCUUAUAC